rnacentral:rRNA from 1 species
ACAACUCUUAACGGGGGAUC